rnacentral:rRNA from 1 species
UACGAAGGGUGCUAGCGUUGCUCGGAAUCACUGGGCGUAAAGCGCACGUAGGCGGCUUUUUAAGUCAGAGGUGAAAUCCUGGAGCUCAACUCCAGAACUGCCUUUGAUACUGGAGAGCUUGAGUCCGGGAGAGGUGAGUGGAACUGCGAGUGUAGAGGUGAAAUUCGUAGAUAUUCGCAAGAACACCAGUGGCGAAGGCGGCUCACUGGCCCGGUACUGACGCUGAGAUGCGAAAGCGUGGGGAGCAAACAGG